rnacentral:rRNA from 1 species
UACGGAGGAUGCGAGCGUUAUCCGGAUUUAUUGGGUUUAAAGGGUGCGUAGGCGGACGCUUAAGACAGCGGUAAAAUUGCGGGGCUCAACCUCGUCGAGCCGUUGAAACUGGGUGCCUUGAGUGGGCGAGAAGUACGCGGAAUGCGUGGUGUAGCGGUGAAAUGCAUAGAUAUCACGCAGAACUCCGAUUGCGAAGGCAGCGUACCGGCGCCCUACUGACGCUGAAGCACGAAGGCGUGGGUAUCGAACAGG